GUUUUCACACGUGUAUCUCCCUCGUCUAACACUACUUGCAUAAACUCUCUUUUGCGCAUCUGGUAUAGAUCUGAAAAGACCGACCGAAAUUGAAUAGAUUUGGCAAACUUUAGAUCAAUUUCAAGUUCCAUCACUCAGUAUACACUUCUUGAUCUUGCCCAAGAGAGACAGACAGUUGAUGGGUUCGUCACCCCUCGAAUCAAGAAAAUCCCGUGCACUUGCACACGCCGUGUGCGUCCCCUUCCCGGCCCAAGGCCACGUCAACCCCAUGAUGCAGCUUGCCAAGCUCCUCCACGCACGCGGCGUCUUCGUGACGUUCGUGAACACCGAGUUCAACCACCACCGCCUCCUCCGGUCUAAGGGACCCGACUCACUCCGAGUCCUUGAAAACUUCCGCUUCGAGACGAUCCCGGAUGGCCUCCCGCCGUCAGACCGCGAUGCGACGCAGGACAUCCCGGCCCUCUUCGACUCAAUCCGCAAGAACUGCUUAGGCCCUUUCAAGAAAUUGCUUGCCGGGAUCAAGAGUGACGAGGUUGUUCCGCCUGUGAGUUGUGUGAUAUCAGAUGGGGCGACGAGCUUCGCCAGUAAAGCUGCAAGAGAGCUUGGAGUCCCAGAGGUUCAGUUCUGGACUGCCUCAGCUUGUGGGUUAAUGGGUUAUUUGCAGUACAGAGAGCUUGUUAAGAGAGGGAUCGUUCCAUUCAAAGAUGAAGACUUCCUGAACAACGGGAUGCUCGAUGAUCCUGUCGACUGGAUCCCCGGUAUGCGAAACAUCCGACUCCGGGACAUCCCAAGCUUCAUGCGGACCACAGACCUGAACGACAUCAAGUUCGACUUCUUAGGAGAUGAAGCGCAGCACUGCCUGAAAUCAUCUGCUAUCUUGUUCAACACCUUCAAUGAGCUCGAACACGAAGUACUGGAGAAAAUAGCAGACAUGUCCCCUCAAAUUUACUGUACCGGGCCCCUUUCCUUUCUCAUUCAGGAUAUUCCCUGGAGCUCAGUCAAGUCUUUCAGGUCGAGUCUGUGGAAGGAAGACUACAGCUGCCUCGAAUGGCUCGAUCAGAGAGAAGCCGAGUCGGUUGUCUAUGUGAACUAUGGAAGUAUUACUGUCAUGACUGGGGAACACCUGAAGGAGUUUGCUUGGGGACUUGCAAAUAGCAAGCACCCAUUUUUGUGGGUGAUCAGACCUGAUGUUGUGAAGGGUGAUUCUGCAAUUCUGCCACAGGAGUUCCUGGAGGAAGUGAAAGACAGAGGGUUCUUGACAAGUUGGUGUCCGCAGGAUCAAGUCCUGAGUCACGGAUCAGUCGGCGCUUUCCUAACGCACUGCGGGUGGAAUUCUACCUUGGAAGGAAUCUGCGGAGGCGUUCCCCUCAUUUGCUGGCCGUUCUUUGCCGAGCAAACGACAAACUGUCGGUAUGCGUGUACGGAAUGGGGGAUUGGCAUGGAAGUGAACCAGGAUGUGAGGCGCCAGGAAAUAGAAGCUCUUGUUCGGGAAGUGAUGGAAGGGGUCGGCGGGAAGAAGAUGAGGGAGAAUGCUAAGAAGUGGAAGGAGAGAGCUGUGGAAGCCGCCCGUCACGGAGGGUCGUCGUACAACGACUUCAAUAGAUUUAUUAAGGAUGUUGUCCAUUUGAAUGAUUAGAUCAAAGGGAACAAUUACCAGAUUCCCAAGUAUUCCGAAAAUAUAUCGAAACCAUGGUUGAAGAUUUCCCUCUUCUUGUUUCCAAUUUGUUAGUUUGCACUGGUUCCUUCGACAUGGUAUGUUAAAUCAGGAAGCAUUAAAUAAUAUGAAUAAAGAUAUUUACUUUCUUUACA